CCACGUUGGGGAUCGCGUCUCCCUGCCUUUAAAGGUUCUCCGUGGCUCUGCCUCCUAUUCUGUCGAGUUGUGACCUCUACCAACUGCAGGAGUCAUACAAAGGAUGCUGGGGGACCCAAGAAACCUAAAAAUGAACUCAGUGGCCAUUGAGGAUGUAGCUGUGAAUUUCACCCCAGAGGAGUGAGCUGUACUGGAUCCUUCACAGAAGAAACUCUACAGAGAUGUGAUGUGGGAAACCUUCAGGAACCUGGCCUCAGUAGGAAAAACAUGGGAAGAUCAUGAAAUUGAAGAUCAGUAAAAAACCAGGGGAGAAAACUAAGAAGUCAUAUAGUAAAGAGACUCUGUGAAAGUGAAGAGGGUAGUCAAUGUGGAGAAAACGUCAUCCAUUUUCCAAAUCUCAAUCUGAACAAGAAAACUCCUGGAGUGAAACCACAUGAGUGCAGUGCAUGUGGAAGAGUCUUCAUGCAUCAUCCAUCACUUAAUAUGCACGUUAGAUGUCACACUGGACACAAACCAUAUGACUAUCAAAAAGUUGGAGAGAAGCAGUAUAAAAGUAAAGAAUGUGGGAAAGCGUUUAUAAAUCCCUCAAGGCCUUGAUCAUGCAUGAUCUUUCACACUGGAGAUGGACCUUAUAAAUGUAAGGAAUGUAACAAAGUAUUUAUUUCUCC